GGAUUGCGAAUGGGCGAAGCCUGACGCAGCGACGCCGCGUGGGGGAUGAAGCUUCUCGGAGUGUAAACCCCUUUCGACCGGGACGAAUGCCCGCAAGGGAGUGACGGUACCGGUAGAAGAAGCCCCGGCUAACUACGUGCCAGCAGCCGCGGUAAGACGUAGGGGGCCAGCGUUGUUCGGAAUUACUGGGUGUAAAGGGUUCGUAGGCGGUGUGGCAAGUCGGGAGUGAAAUCUCUGGGCUUAACUCAGAGGCUGCUUCCGAAACUGCUGUGCUGGAGUGUGGGAGAGGCGCGUGGAAUUGCAGGUGUAGCGGUGAAAUGCGUAGAUAUCUGCAGGAACACCCGUGGCGAAAGCGGCGCGCUGGACCAUUACUGACGCUGAGGAACGAAAGCUAGGGGAGCAAACAGGAUUAGAUACCCUGGUAGUCCUAGCCCUAAACGAUCAGGACUUGGGGUGCCACCCGUUCGGGUGUCGUCCCGGAGCUAACGCGUUAAGUCCUGCACCUGGGGAGUACGGUCGCAAGACUGAAACUCAAAAGAAUUGACGGA
rnacentral:rRNA from 1 species